rnacentral:lncRNA from 1 species
AUGGAGCGGGGGGGGCGAGCGGGGGCUGCAGGGUCCAGCUCCCGGGAGAUAGGGGUCAUUCCACCUGUCGCCGGGCACGCGCCGGCCGCACGGGGGCGCCAGCGGACAGGCCCCCGCAGAACGCGCCCGGCCGGGCGAGCGGCGGUCAGUCCCGGGAGGUGGCGCUCGCGAGGCGGGGAAGGGCGGCGAGGGGCUGUGUGGUCCGUGGAAAAUCCCCACGGCCCGCCCCGCGCGGGACCCGCUGUAACCUCGGCCCCGGCGGCCAGGCGGGGUGGGGUCUUCGCCAGGGCUCAAGAUCCUCCUGGGAUGCGCAGUGGGGCUUGGGGAGUGAAAAGCACUCUCGAGGGUGCGUGGGGCAGGAGCACCGGGGUCGUACAGGCGGGCGUGGAGGGGCGCGGGCGCCAUCAGAGCGGGGUCGCAUCCUUCCUACCAAGGCCGGACCUAACGUCGUGUUCCUCAGGCUGUGCAGUCACUGAGGGCAUGGGCACCCCUAACCCCUCCCCAACCCUCAGCCUCGCAUCCUUCCAUUAUCUGCUAGGGGCUGGAGAGGGGGUGAAUGCGGCACCCAGGUCCUUCUGUCCCACCUGCGCCCCCUGCCUAUUCCUCCGGCUGGCUGGAUCUCUGGCAGUCCCAGCAGCAACACGGAGCAGACGGGGCGAGUUGAGCUGGGAUGGGGGUGGAGGUACGGACGCCAGGCGUCUCUCCGCCCCCCUGUGUCACCUCCUCUUGCUGGAGUCAGGGCCACUCGCGGACUGCCAUCUCCCCGCCCAGGGAACGAAGAACGCGAGCACAGGGACUGGGUACCGGUGGCCGACGGGUCAGUGCCCGGGGCUGGCCCAGGACCAACGCUGCCCCAACCCCCGCGCAGCUAGUUGCCUAGCAGGGCCCUACCCGGAGCCAGCGCCUCCGAGGCCCGACGGGAGCCCUUUCCCCUGUGGGCGACCACCGCUGCGGCCAGCAGGGACGGUCCAAUGCAGGCUCCAUCCUGGGAACAGCUGUCAAGCCGCUGCUUGGGAGGGACGAGGAGGUGUGAGUAGGAGCCGAGAUUCUUACCUGUCCAGGUGUCUGCCUGGCCUGGAAGCCACCGAGACCAAAUGUGGGGCAGCUCCAUGCAUGGUGGUCCAUGCGUGGGGGUCCCUGACGAUCUCACAUGCACUCACCGGAGCUCUGUCCCAGGCUUGUCUGCUGGGGGACUUCAUUCUCUGGAUGUACCGUGUGGUGGAGUGGAGCAGAGUUAAACGAGGUUCCAGAGUGAGUCGUACAGGCUGCAGAGAAGACAACAAAUGAGGAAAAACAGGAGGGCCACUGUGGAACUGGAAGAUUACUUCCUAUGUGGGUGACAGUCAGAGUGAUGAAGAGGGAGUGACCCUUUUCUGGCUAUGGGUCAUUUUAUAUGUAUAACUUUUGAAUCAAAUAAUAUUUAACUCAAAUGAAUAUUCUCCAUAAUCAAAUUAUUAAAUAGAGAAAGAAUGAAAAAGACCCUAAAAUUCAGUCAUAAAUGAUUUUUUGAUUCCUUUAUUGUAUAUCAAAUCAACAUAACCACGCAGAAAAAAAGAGAAUUCAAACAGCUUUGAACACCAUAUUCUGAAUUUCAGUGUGAUAUAUUCUGAGGACAAAAAUAAUUACAAAGAGAUCUUGAGAUUUCCUUAGUAGGUUUGGUUAGUAGCAGGAUUGUUAUAGUAAUUCCAAAGCUAUUUGGAGGGCAUUUUGGAACAGAGUAAAUUAAUAAAUAUGUUGAUGCUGCUGAAAAAGGGUUCUUACUGUCGAUAAGGGUUUAUUUGGUUGUGCCUUUUUUUUUUUGUAUAUUGAAAAUGGUUUAAUAUUUACAAAUGCAUACAGUUCAGUUCAGUAGCUCAGUCGUGUCUGACUCUUUGCGACCCCAUGGACCGCAGCACGCCAGGCCUCCCUGUCCAUCACUAACUCCUGGAGUCCACCCAAACCCAUGUCCAUUGAGUCGGUGAUGCCAUCCAACCAUCUCAUCCUCUGUCAUCCCCUUCUCCUCCUGCAUCAGGGUCUUUUCAAAUGGGUCAGCUCUUCGCAUCAGGUGGCCAAAGUAUUGGAGUUUCAGCUUCAACUUCAGUCCUUCCAAUGAACACUCAGAACUGAUCUUCUUUAGGAUGGACUGGUUGGAUCCCCUUGCAGUUCAGGGGAUUCUCAAGAAUCUUCUCCAACACCACAGUUCAAAAGCAUCAAUUCUUCUGUGCUCAGCUUUCUUUACAGUCCAACUCUCACAUCCAUACAUGACUACUGAAAAAAAACAUAGCCUUGACUAGGUGGACCUUUGUUGGUAAAGUAAUGUCUCUGCUUUUUAAUAUGCUGUCUAGGUUGGUCAUAACUUUCCUUCCAAGGAGCAAGUGUCUUUUAAUUUCAUGGCUGCAGUCACCAUCUGCAGUGAUUGUGGAGCCCCCCAAAAUAAAAUAAGUCACUGUUUCCAUUGUUUCCCGUCUAUUUGCCAUGAGGUGAUGGGACCAGAUGCCAUGAUCUUAGUUUUCUGAAUGUUGAGCUUUGAGCCAACUUUUUCACUCUCUUUCACUUUCAUCAAGAGGCUCUUUAGUUCUUUUUCACUUUCUGCCAUUAGGGUGGUGUCAUCUGC